UACGGAGGGUGCAAGCGUUAUCCGGAUUUACUGGGUUUAAAGGGUGCGUAGGUGGGUAAGUAAGUCAGUGGUGAAAUCUCCGGGCUUAACCCGGAAACUGCCCAUUGAUACUAUUUAUCUUGAAUACUUUGGAGGUAAGCGGAAUAUGUCAUGUAGCGGUGAAAUGCUUAGAUAUGACAUAGAACACCAAUUGCGAAGGCAGCUUACUACACAGUAAUUGACACUGAGGCACGAAAGCGUGGGGAUCAAACAGG
rnacentral:rRNA from 1 species